AGUUGGAGGCAGGCGCUCGCUGAGGCAAAAGGAGGCGCUCGGCCCGCGGCCUGACAGGGACUUAGCCCGCAGAGAUCGACCCCGCGCGCGUGACCCCACACCCACCCACUCAUCCAUCUAUCCACUCCCUGCGCCGCCUCCUCCCACCCUGAGCAGAGCCGCCGAGGAUGAUAAACACCCAGGACAGGGAAUGAACUACAUCUCAGUCUAAGGAACCACUAAAUUGGAUUCAAAGACAGUUGAGCAGAUCUACAGCCCUGUUGGGUCCAUCCGAAAAUCAAGGUGGCCAGUAAGUAGUAUUUUGCCUUUGAGUAACUGUCCCCAGCUCCAGUGCUGCAGGCACAUUGUUCCAGGGCCUCUGUGGUGCUCCUGAUGCCCCUCACCCACUGUCGAAGAUCCCCGGUGGGCGAGGGGGCGGCAGGGAUCCUUCUCUCUCAGCUCUAAUAUAUAAGGACGAGAAGCUCACUGUGACCCAGGACCUCCCUGUGAAUGAUGGAAAACCUCACAUCGUCCACUUCCAGUAUGAGGUCACCGAGGUGAA
rnacentral:lncRNA from 1 species